rnacentral:lncRNA from 1 species
GCCUAGGCGCGGGGCAGGACGGGACCGGUGAGUGGCUCCUCCAAACAGCUAUAGAGACCCAGAAAUGCCUGUGGAAAGCUACAGAGGACUUGGGCAAGGCGUUAGAGCCGGACGUUGUGGUCCCUGGGGGAGCCAACCGGGGAGGUGCCUAUGAUCUUUCUUUCCAAGUUUGAGGGUUCAGGUCUGUGUUCGCCUGCUGGUUAGACCGAUUUAAGUUUUAGAGUCCCAGGAGUUCUGGGCGAGCUGCAGCCUAGGGGCCUGGAAGGCCAGGAAGACUUGAAGGAUCUGUGUUGGUAGGCCUGGAGUUUGGCUAACGUGGGGAUGAUUUGGAUUCUGAGAUGCAGAUACAUUGCCUUUUUGGUAUCCAAUUUGAAAAGUAGCAACCAUUUUGCUAUCCCAAAGAACAUCCAUGGAGGCUUUCAACAAAUAAUAUGCUCACCUGUUUCAGGGAAUUAUCUAUAUCCCUUAAGUGGAUUUUCGAUCUUGUGUUUCUGAGGGCAAGCAGUUAAGAAGGGAAGAUGAACAUAAAGUAGGGAAGAGCAAAAAUGAGUUGGAACCUAAGACACGAGCUGGUCAUUCUUUCACUGUCUCCAACUUUAAAGAUAUGAGUAUCCUUGCUAGAGGAGCUGACACUUUUUGCCACAGGACUAGACACACACACAGCUCAGGAAUCAAAAAAGGUGAAGGAAGACUCAGGGAAAAGCUUCUGCCCCAUCCCAACAAGGUGAACCAGCUGAUUGGUGACAAAGUAGAUGAGCCGCAGUAGCACCUAGUGUCCCUGCACCACCGUUUCAAGUAUAAAACUGGAGGGAUGCUUCAGUUCUCCCCUUCAAGACUUACACAACCAUGUCUCUGUUGGGCUAUUCUAACCAGAAACAAAAGGAAAGGAAAUUCUGGGAAACAUAGUUUAGCUUAGCAAAGUUGAUAUAUUACAAAAUUACCACUGUCCACUCUGCAUCGAGUUGACAUCCAUACAGACCUCUUUAAAACACACUUUCAAAAUAAAGUCCACACCCUACACAUAAGCUAUCUCUAGAGAAAUUUGAAGUCUGUUGUGCACUGAGGAUAACCACAACAACAAACUGUAAACCUAGCCCAAUUUCUGACUAGACUGAUACCACCGAACCACUGCUAUGCACUCAAGAGCACUAAAGGCCUAGCAGAAGGAAAGACACACUCAUCUCCAAGCAUAAAAACAAUCUUUACUUCAUACUGUGAAGAGAGAAUUGAAAAAAUAAUUUAAGCAAAAAAAAUACAACAUGACUAACUUUUAACAGAAAGAAAAAAAGACGCAUACAGAAAGGCAAGAAAAAACACAGUCCAAAGAGAUAAAACAAUCAUUAGAACCAGAUUCAUAAGACAUAGACAUUAGAAAUAUGAGAGAAUUUUAAAUAACUGUGAUUAAUGUGAUGAAGGCCCUAAGGGGAAAGGUGAACAAAAUGCAAGCUCAGAUGGGUGAUUUUAGCAAAUAGAUGGAAACUAUCAGGAAAAAUAAAAUGGAAACUAUAAAAAUAAAAAAUAUAAUAAUAGAGAUGAAGAAUGCCCUCCAUGGGCCCAUUAGGAGACUGAACACAGUUGAGGAAAAAAUCAGACUUGAAGGUAGGUAAAUAGAAAUUGCUGAAACACACACACACACACACACAAAAAGAGUGACAGAAACAGAACACAGCAUCCAAGACUGGUGGGAAAAUAUCAACAUCAAAUCAAGAAAUAGGCGCAGUGGCUCACCCCUGUAAUCCCAGCACUUGGGGAGGCCGAGGCAGGCAGAUCACGAGGUCAGGAGAUCGAGACCAUCCUAGCUAACGCAGUGAAACCCCGUCUCUACUAAAAAUUCAAAAAAAUUAGCCGGGCAUGGUAGCAGGCACCUGUCGUCCCAGCUACUCGGGAGGCUGAGGUAAGAGAAUUGCGUGAACCCGGGAGGCGGAGCUUGCAGUGAGCUGAGAUCACACCACUGCACUCCAGCCUGGGCGACAGAGCAAGACUCUAUCUCAAAAAAAAAAAAAAAAUCAAGAAAUAAUGGCUGAGAAUUUCCAAAAUUUGUAAGACACCAAACCAAUCCAAGGAGCUCAGAGAACACAGAGCAGGAUAAAUUCUUUAAAAAGAAACUAAGCUUAUUGUAUUCAAACUAAGCUUAUUGUAUUGAUACCUGGUAGUUAUAACUUACCAAAUACACUGCCCAACAUCUCCAGAUGAUCUAUUAUUUCUGAAAGUUUCCUUUAUUACAUUUCUUACUUCAGGGAGAUAUAGCCUUCGCUUCAUGUUAUGGUUGGUGCAGUCAGUAUUCUCAGAAAGAAAGUACUGGUUCCAUUUUACCUCCAUCUUUUGUUUCCUGUCAGAAAACCUACCAUACCACCAAGUACUCCUUCUCUACACUGCCUCUGAUAUUUAAGUAAUUUGAGAAUUCUGUUGAGACUAUCUCCCUUUUUUGGUAUGAUGAAUCUGGUCCUAAAUUGCAUGCCAAAGACUUUGAGAACUAAACUGUAGACCCAGAUCUCAUGUCCCAGACUGGCCUUUUGUUACCCACACAAUGAAUGGGUUAAAUUGCUUGGCAGGGGACAGUCCAAUGACCACAACCAAGGAGGAUUUCCCAGGGGGAUUUUAUUACUUGCGAUAAGUAAGGAGGACACUGGGAAUAAUUCCCCAAAGCAAUGCCUCCCUGAGCAAUGGUGCAAACAUGGCUUUUAUUAGUCUGGUUAGCUGAGUCAUUGUAUGUAGAGGUGGAGUCAAGGCAGCGCAGUCCCAGUUGUCGGUUAUGCUGCUACAUAUGUCACAUGUAUAGAAAAUGGUGAAUAAGCUCCUCCUUGGACAGGAUUUUAAGUAUGGUGAUGAGGAAAGUUGGCCAAAGUUCAUCUCCAACUCAGGCAUCUCUGGGUCCAACUGGUCUUUGUUUUUCCUGGGCUAAGCUUCUUCCUGGAACUUUUUAAAACAAAAAUUCAAGAUGUAACAGUUACAAGUGUGUAACUUUUUCACAGUGCGUACCCAAAACCCAAGGACCCUGGGUUACACUUUAGGUGCCACCCAUGUGGGACCUAUCAGAAGAGUACUACAAAGGCUUUGAAAACUGAACUGACAUUGGAACCACAACCCUCAGAAGGCUGGUCAAAACUUAUGACUUGAACCCAAAUGGGUUAAUUACCCUUUAAAACAUAAAUAUCAACAUCCUCCACCAAAUUUAACCAAGACCCAGAGCAUCCUAAUGACAUUCAAAAUGUCCAGGAUACAAUCGAUAUUAAUUGGCAGGUGAAGAACCAGGAAAAUCUCAACUCACGUUGGGAAAAAAUGUAACAGAUGCAGAAUGUAAGUUGCCACACAUGUUGGAAUUAUCAAGACUAUAAAGCUGCUAUUCAAAUGGAAAGUUUAAAAGUCUCAGAGAAGUAAUAGAAAAUACAAAGAAUAGCCCCAUGGAAAUUUUAGAACGGGAAAAUACAAAAACCGUCAUCACAUCAUAUCCGGGGCACAUGCUGUCAACAUUGCUCAUCACUGUUGAUGUUAACCUUGAUCACCCGGCUGAGGUAGUAUUUGAUGGGUUUCUCCCUGUAAAGUUAUUCUUUCCCCUCCCCCUAUUUUACUGUUUAGUGGGAAGUCACUAUGUGCAGCCCAUGCCUAAAAAGGGAGUAGUUGGUGGGCACGGUGGCUCACGCCUGUAAUCCCAGCACUUUGGGAGGCUGAGUGGGUGGAUCACCUGAGGUCAGGAGUUCGAGACCAGCUUGGCCGACAUGGUGAAACCCCGUCUCUGCUAAAAAUACAAAAAUUAGCCAGGCAUGGUGGUGCACGCCUGUAAUCCCAGCUAUUCAGGAGGCUGAGGCAGGAGAACUGCUUGAACCUGGGAGGCAGAGAUUGCAGUGAUCCUGCCAUUGCACUCCAGCCUGGGCGAUGAGCAAAAUUCCAUCUCAAAAGAAAAAAAAGUGAGUAGUUAUAUUUCCCCUCCUUGCGGUGGAGUAUCUACAUUCUUCUGCAUGAGAAAUUUGUCAGUUAUCUCCUAUUUAUUCAAUUAUUUAUAUUAUGAAUUCAUGGAUUCCUAUUUUAUACUUUGGGUAUAAUCCAAUACUAUGUUGUUUAUUUUACUGCUCAGAUUAUUCCUGUGUUGGCCAUUGGGAACUUUUUCAGUUGACAUCUGUGUCCCUUUGACAAACUCCUGUCAUUUUGUGGGGAAGAGGGAGUAGCACUUUCUUACUUUCUACCGCUACAAAAUCCUCCAGUCUUAUCUUGUAUUUCUCUUCCCUAACCCUAAAGUCAAUCAUUCUCAUUUCUCUAAUGAUAAAUGAUGUUAAACAUCUUUUCAUAUGCUUUCUUAUUAUCUGUAUAUCUUCUCUGAUGAUUACCAAGGAUGGGAAGGGUAGUAGGGGGAAAGUGGAGAUGGUUAAUGGGUACAAAAAAUAGAAUGAAUAAGAAUUAGUAGUUGAUAGCACAACAGGGUGAUUACAGUCAAAAAUAAUUGUACAUUAUAAAAUAACUAGUAUAAUUGGAUUAUUUAUAACAAAGGCUGAAGGCUUGAGGUGAUAAAUACCCCAUUUACCCUGAUGUGACUAUUACACAUUGCAUACCUGUAUCAAAAUACCUUGUAUACCCCAUAAAUAUAUAACCUACUAUGUACCCAUUUAAAUAAAAAAAGUUUUUAAAAAA